rnacentral:tRNA from 1 species
UGACCGAUGGUGUAAUGGUAGCACUACAGUUUUUGGAGCUGUCUGUCUAGGUUCGAAUCCUAGUCGGUCAACCA